GGUCAAUGGACGCAAGUCUGAACCAGCCAUGUCGCGUGCAGGAAGACUGCCCUAUGGGUUGUAAACUGCUUUUAUACGGGAAGAAAUAUAGCUACGUGUAGUUAUUUGCCCGGUACCGUAUGAAUAAGCAUCGGCUAACUCCGUGCCAGCAGCCGCGGUAAUACGGAGGAUGCGAGCGUUAUCCGGAUUCAUUGGGUUUAAAGGGUGCGUAGGCGGAAGUAUAAGUCAGGGGUGAAAGUUUGUGGCUCAACCAUAAAAUUGCCUUUGAUACUGUAUUUCUUGAGUACAUUUGAGGUAGGCGGAAUGUGUUGUGUAGCGGUGAAAUGCUUAGAUAUAACACAGAACACCGAUUGCGAAGGCAGCUUACUAAACUGUAACUGACGCUGAUGGCCACGAAAGCGUGGGGAUCGAACCAGGAUUAGAUACCCCUCGGUAG
rnacentral:rRNA from 1 species